AGCACAAAACUCAGAUUAUAUGAAGUCGGUAGUAAACCAGGCAGCAGUAAACAGACAACCUGAUGAUUAUUAAAGAGGCUCAGUCACCAGCUCACACAGUCAAUGGCCACGAUUUAUCAGUUUGUCCUCCGGGACAGAAAAGUCUUUGACGGGCAGGGGGCAUUUCUCAUUAGCUCGGUCUCCUGAAUCUCAAAUCGCUGAUGGGGUGAAUGAAUGAACAAAGAAAGGACAGGCGGAGCGGGGUGAACUUGGGGAGCGGAUUCCCACCUUCUGUGCAAGGGGGAGGAGCUUAUGAAGUGGUCAGUGCCUCGCUUUUGAACGGUGACCCCUGGACCCCAAGGAAGAAUUCGGACUCAAAG
rnacentral:lncRNA from 1 species